rnacentral:rRNA from 1 species
CCUACGGGUGGCUGCAGUGGGGAAUAUUGGACAAUGGGCGAAAGCCUGAUCCAGCCAUGCCGCGUGUGUGAAGAAGGCCUUCGGGUUGUAAAGCACUUUCAGUGGGGAAGAAAGCCUUGGGGCUAAUACCCUCGAGGAAGGACAUCACCCACAGAAGAAGCACCGGCUAACUCCGUGCCAGCAGCCGCGGUAAUACGGAGGGUGCGAGCGUUAAUCGGAAUUACUGGGCGUAAAGCGCGCGUAGGCGGUCUGAUAAGCCGGUUGUGAAAGCCCCGGGCUCAACCUGGGAACGGCAUCCGGAACUGUCAGGCUAGAGUGCAGGAGAGGAAGGUAGAAUUCCCGGUGUAGCGGUGAAAUGCGUAGAGAUCGGGAGGAAUACCAGUGGCGAAGGCGGCCUUCUGGACUGACACUGACGCUGAGGUGCGAAAGCGUGGGUAGCAAACAGGAUUAGAUACCUUGAGUC